CUCUUAAAUAAUUCAGAAUACUCGAACAACAACUAUUCAGCCACCCCAGCGAAGGACGAGCGAAAGGCCGAUAUAACGCAUCUUUAUUAUAUCGGAUUUCCAAAUAUUAACACUCUACUCAUCAAAACAUACAUUUUUGUACAAAAGGUUAAAAACAAAACCAUUAUAUACCAACUUUCCAAAAUACUAUGUCACUAGCAAACUACGAAAACAAUGCACAUAACUUGAAUUGGUGUUUAAAGGGAUUUUUGCUGCAAUAUUUUUGUUUUAAGGCUAAGUGCUACUCUGUAAUUGUAUACAUAAUACAUGGCUUUCAAAUAUGAUAUCUACUUAAAAAUAUAAAAUGACGGAAAACUUAUUGACACAAAAACCGCUAAUAUAUAUUCUUUGGGAAUCGAAUUUGAUUCAGAGUUUAAAGAAAACGAUGCACCCUAAAGCCAUUCAUCAUUAUCGUCUUAUGGGACAACAAUUAAAAUCUUAUUUUUACUUGGUAACUUGCCAGACACGAAUGAGAUUAUCAGUCCAGCCAGAGAACAAAGUUUGGCCAUCAGGAGACCAGGUAAGAGAAAUACACUCAGGCUCAGAGCUCUUCUUGCCAACACCAACAAAGUCAACAGUAAGUUCAUCAACCUUCUCUUGAGUCUCCAAAUCGAAGAUACGAAUGGAAGAACCAGUGGCGGCACAAAGCCAGUAACGGUUAGGGGAGAAAACAAGGGCAUUAAUGUUAGCCUUGGCUUCCAAAGAGUAGAGGUGGGUAGACUCGUUAAGAUCCCAAAGCAUCAAGGUACCGUCUCUUCCACCGGAAGCACAAAGAGAUCCAUCAGGGGAGAUGGUGACUGCAGAUACGUAACCAGUAUGGCCAUAGUGAGAAGUGCGAAGGGAGAAGGUUUCCAAAUCCCAAACCUUUGAAGAGAGUUAGCAUUAAUUAAUUAGAAUGAAUAAAU